GACGAACGCUGGCGGCGUGCUUAACACAUGCAAGUCGAACGGAAAGGCCCCUUUGGGGGUACUCGAGUGGCGCACGGGUGAGUAACACGUGAGUAACCUGCCCUUGACUUCGGGAUAACUUCAGGAAACUGGGGCUAAUACCGGAUAGGAAUCCUUGCUGCAUGGUGGGGGUUGGAAAGCUUCGGCGGUUUUGGAUGGACUCGCGGCUUAUCAGCUUGUUGGUGGGGUAGUGGCUUACCAAGGCUUUGACGGGUAGCCGGCCUGAGAGGGCGACCGGCCACAUUGGGACUGAGAUACGGCCCAGACGCCUACGGGAGGCAGCAGGGGGGAAGAUUGCACAAUGGGCGGAAGCCUGAUGCAGCAACGCCGCGGGCGGGAUGACGGCCUUCGGGUUGUAAACCGCUUUCAGCAGGGGCGAAGCUUGUGGUGACGGUACCUGCAGAAGAAGCACCGGCUAACUACGUG
rnacentral:rRNA from 1 species